rnacentral:rRNA from 1 species
AGUGAACGCUGGCGGUAGGCCUAACACAUGCAAGUCGAACGGCAGCACAGUAAGAGCUUGCUCUUACGGGUGGCGAGUGGCGGACGGGUGAGGAAUACAUCGGAAUCUACUUUUUCGUGGGGGAUAACGUAGGGAAACUUACGCUAAUACCGCAUACGACCUACGGGUGAAAGCAGGGGAUCUUCGGACCUUGCGCGAUUGAAUGAGCCGAUGUCGGAUUAGCUAGUUGGCGGGGUAAAGGCCCACCAAGGCGACGAUCCGUAGCUGGUCUGAGAGGAUGAUCAGCCACACUGGAGCUGAGACACAGUCCAGACUCCUACGGGAGGCAGCAGUGGGGAAUAUUGGACAAUGGGCGCAAGCCUGAUCCAGCCAUACCGCGUGGGUGAAGAAGGCCUUCGGGUUGUAAAGCCCUUUUGUUGGGAAAGAAAAGCAGCAGGUUAAUACCCCGCUGUUCUGACGGUACCCAAAGAAUAAGCACCGGCUAACUUCGUG